rnacentral:rRNA from 1 species
UACGUAUGGAGCAAGCGUUAUCCGGAUUUACUGGGUGUAAAGGGAGCGCAGGCGGCGGAUUAAGUCUGAUGUGAAAGAUCGGGGCCCAACCCCGGAGCUGCAUUGGAAACUGGUCUGCUAGAGUAUCGGAGGGGUAAGCGGAAUUCCUGGUGUAGCGGUGAAAUGCGUAGAUAUCAGGAGGAACACCGGUGGCGAAGGCGGCUUACUGGACGAUAACUGACGCUGAGGCUCGAAAGCGUGGGGAG